rfam:Pteropus alecto contig74388, whole genome shotgun sequence.
AGUUCUAUAGUGUAGCGGUGAGCAUGUCUGCUUUAUAUGCAGAAGGUCCUGGGUUCGCGCCCAGUGGAGCCA